GUGGGGAAUCUUGCGCAAUGGGCGAAAGCCUGACGCAGCCAUGCCGCGUGAAUGAUGAAGGUCUUAGGAUUGUAAAAUUCUUUCACCGGGGACGAUAAUGACGGUACCCGGAGAAGAAGCUCCGGCUAACUUCGUGCCAGCAGCCGCGGUAAUACGAAGGGGGCUAGCGUUGCUCGGAAUUACUGGGCGUAAAGGGCGCGUAGGCGGACAGCUUAGUCAGAGGUUAAAGCCCAGGGCUCAACCUUGGAAUUGCCUUUGAUACUGGCUGUCUUGAGUUUGGGAGAGGUGAGUGGAACUCCGAGUGUAGAGGUGAAAUUCGUAGAUAUUCGGAAGAACACCAGUGGCGAAGGCGACUCACUGGCCCAAUACUGACGCUGAGGCGCGAAAGCGUGGGGAGCAAACAGGAUUAGAUACCCUUGUAGUCC
rnacentral:rRNA from 1 species